GGAGCACCAACUUCCUCACCACGGCUUGGUUCUUGGAACAGUACCUGAAGGCGUCCAAGGCAGGGUCCUACGAACUGGACGAUGCCUCCUUUCACCUGGCUGACCUCGCAGACUUGGAUGUACAACCUGCUGUGCCCACCGACAUUUUUCUUGAGGAGGUAGAACUCACCAUGUCACAACCUGAGGAGAAUAGCUUUGACUAUUACGCGGAGGCACGAGACCCAUGUCCCCUCCAUGGUCAUCGGUUGCAGCUUUUGGGUCUGUCUCAUUUUAUUUCAUUGUAGUUGCAGACUUAAUUAUUGUCAGGUAUCUGUGUGUUUGUUCGUUUGCAGUAGACCUAACUGCCGCCAUUUCCUUUCCGUGAGUUAGUUUUUGUCAGACGCUCGUACUCAGUGUAACAGGUGCAAGGGCUGGGUUUUGUUGCUGUGUCCAGGAUGUUGCAAGGAGACUGCUGGCCAAUGGACUUCUUCCAAAACCGACGCGCCCCAUUGCGGCGAAAUACCAUGCAGUGCAUUCUGGGAACU
rnacentral:misc_RNA from 1 species